rnacentral:lncRNA from 1 species
ACGCCCCUGGCACUUGGAGAUGUGAGGACUAAUGGUGACAAUACCAUCCUUUAUGUGAUUAAAUGUGAUGUGUUGCAUUUCAUGAAAGCAUGUAAAGUAAAAGUUAUGUUAUUUAAUGUUAAUAAUAAAAUGAAUAAUAAUAUACCUAAAAAGUGUGGAAUUAAAGCAAAUGUAAAUAAUAAAACGGAGAAUAAAAUACCUAAAAAUGGAGGAAUUAAUAUCAUGUUUUUACUUUUGCUCACUGGGCUUUUUAGCUCACCCCUCUCCCCUAACCCCAGUCUUGCAGGUACUGUGUAGAUAGAGAAGUCAGAAGAGUAAGAGGAGGUUAUGUAAUAGCAUAGCUGUGGACAUGGUUUAUUCAUAAUGUAAAAGUAUGUAAUGUAAUGAAAUGUAAGUUUUAUAGUGUGCUUGACUAGAGUCUGUUGUAAUCCCUUAAAUACAUGAGAUAAAUGUUUUAUGAUGUUUAUGUAACCCAAGCCUGAUAUAUGUUAUGUACCCCAUUGGAGUAUUUGUUGAGAACUCCAAUGAGGGGUUUAUGUUAUGAUUAUGCAUGCACAGGCUAGGCUGGGUAAAGAAAAGUUUUAAUUUUUAUGUAUGUUUUGGUUCAUGUAUGGGAUUAAACAGGUUCACAGGAUGUAUGUUUGGCUUGCUACGGGUUCCGGCGGCCUUAAGCCGACCUGAAUCCUAGCGCCGGUAGCGGUCCGGUUUCCGGGU